rnacentral:rRNA from 1 species
UACGUAGGGUGCAGGCGUUAAUCGGAAUUACUGGGCGUAAAGCGUGCGUAGGCGGCCCGCUAAGUCGAACGUGAAAUCCCCGGGCUCAACCCGGGAACUGCGUCCGAUACUGGUGGGCUUGAAUCCGGGAGAGGGAUGCGGAAUUCCAGGUGUAGCGGUGAAAUGCGUAGAUAUCUGGAGGAACACCGGUGGCGAAGGCGGCAUCCUGGACCGGUAUUGACGCUGAGGCGCGAAAGCCAGGGGAGCAAAGCGGG